CUAACGAGACGAAGACAUGGGAGCCUCUCAUAGGCCAAAAACUGUAAAUACAAAGAUCAAAUAUAUGCGGUUAAGCAAACUGGCAACCCGAACGAGGGCAAAUUAAAAAUCCAGAGAAAAUACUCACCAGCAAAAAUGGGUAAAACCCUAACCAAGCCUCUAUCAUUCCCUCUGAGCGUAGGCGCAUCCCUCUGAGGAAGUAGGCAAAGGUUUAAGAGCCCCAAUCAAAAUCUCUGAUACGAUCCACCUUUCGAGUGGCACUAACUAAAGCAAAUGAUACCAUCGAAGAUUUAUCCACUAGGAAAUAACCCCUGAUGAUGAUCAGGAACAAUCGCCAAAUGAUGCAAUCUCUAACCCUCGUAUCAUCGGGCAAAGGCUCGGUCAAAACCCUACUCAUGGUGUCUACACUCAAGGGACCAGAACGGACAAUCCGACCCUUGAGCGCCAUGGCCGAGACUCCCAAAAGGGAUCUUACAGCAGUCCAAAUCCAGUGAUGAAUUGCCAAUCCAUCAGUGUCAUCAUAACCUUACAAUAUAGUAAGUGAAGAGACUAGGUCUGGUGAAACCAGUACUCAGACAAAGCCCUGAGAUAACCCCAAAGAUAACGACCGGGGGGGAUAGAAUAGAAAGCCUCAAAGCCCCACGCGUGACUAAUCUCCCUAUACUCUUGAUGGAGAGUUGGGUACAAAGAAUGUAUGCUAAACCAGUUCCUUCUAGGUUGAAUAAAGCCGGGAACCUGAAACAAAUGGCAAAUCAAGAUCAAAACCCUUGCCCCAUAAAUGGGAAAAUGAAGAUGAAAACGGCUAUUACCUCGUUCGCAUGAAGAUAAAUCGAGCUGUGAUGACUCAAAUCAUCCAGGAGAUCUGGAAUCAUCACAUUUAUAACUGGAAGCUCCCUGCGGGGAAUGGAAGAAGAAGGAGCAGGAUCUGCAAUGGGUACAUCCUCCUCCUCGUCCACGAUAUCUGGUCUCUCAACCCGGAUAUGGCGAAUUACCGACUCAGUUAACCAACGAGGCUGUCGGGCUGGGCGAGGCCGAAGAACAUCUGAAGCUCUCCUCCUCACAUCUGAAGAGGCCCUACGGGAGUUACUCGGCUAGUCUAGAUCCAUAUAUCUGGAAAAAAGUCUCCAAAUCACCUCAAAAAGGGCGUGGUAAAUUCUAAACCUGAAGCUCAUUAAUUUCAAUUCAUAGCUUCAUGCAUGUAUACAUUGCUUUAACACACAUCUACAGUUGAGUUAAAAUUACAUGUUCAUUAAAUGCCCAGACUCAUGAAAUUUUUUUGUCAGAGUCUCCUUUGUAAAAUAGACUGUCCCCAUGUACGUAUGCAUGACUAGGUGGCCAUUAAGUAGCACACCAACUCAAAGUCAUGAACAUCUUAUAUGGAUGAAAAAACAUUAAAAAUAAAUCCAUCAUGGUAGCCUAAUUACCAUUUGUUCUUUGCUUUAAAACCUUUGAUUAUUUGUCCUUAAAUAGGAUGAAAAAAUAGCAGAAAAGGGUACCAAUUGACUGUUUCAAAAGUUUAUUUUUUUUCACAUCAAUAUGUUCAGCAUGGUAAAAGACUAACAUUUACUGUGGGUCUACAUGUAAGUCAUUGGUAUUCGCCCAGAUACAGGGUUCAUAAAGCCGAUGAUAGAAGCUAUUGAAAGUGGCCCUUAUCAACACAUCACGAAGGUUCGAUGCCAUGAAUCGGGGGUUGUAAUUGCAAUCAUAAGCAUCCAAGCUCGUCAAGGGUGUAACUCGUUAGAAAGACAUCCCCAACGGAGAUAUCAUACAUCCCUGACACUGCAAGCCAUUGGAAAUAAUUCCAGCGAAGCAUCAGAAAUGGUCCGGUGAUGUAAGCCAUUGAAAGCUACUUCAACGAAGAUCAUAGUAUCUGAUAUGGCAACCCGUUGGCGACAACUCCAACGAAGCGUUAGAGGAGUCUAAUGAUGCAAACCAUGGAAAACCAUAUCCAUUGUGGAGGACCUAUGAUGGAAUCUAUUUUAUAGAUCCUCAGCCGAGACACUGUGAAGGCUCAGUGAUUUCCAUACUAUUGUAAACUACUAUGCAAGUAGGCACCAAGGAAAGUCGGUGAUUGUCAAGCUUCACAACACUACCAUGCAAAUAAGUAUUGUGAAGAUGACGUGGAAGCCAGCAGUCAAGAUUUUAUCACUAGAGGAACUAUCUGCAUUGACUUGGUAGAAAGUCAGAAUGAUGGUGAUAAUGCCAGCGUAUUGGCAAGAAGAGUCUAAUGGUGGAAACUAAGCCAAGCCAUCAUCCGGAUAAAAUAUCAACAAUCCCCGAGAGUCACUCGCAAAAGAAAAGAACAUCUUCAAAAGCACAUCCAAAAGAUAAAGGACGUUGGUGACAACCACAAUGUCAAAAUUCGAUGAUCUCAACCGUUGGAAACCUCCACUACAGGAAUCUUGAAAACAUCGUUGCAACUUGUUGUUAAAUCAGGUUCAGAUAGCAUAAAUGGACAUUUCAAACCGCUGGCGACAACCCCAGUGUUGCAUCGGGAGAUCCAAUGAUCAAAGCUAUGUAAAUUACCAUUUGAGUAGACAUCAAAGCGGUGCAAGAGAAACCAUCAUUGACAACUCCAUCCAACAACAGAAGUGGUGGGAGCACGCAGUUAUCAUAUCCCAUUGGAAAUCAUUUCAAUAACAACAAUAUUCAGCAGAACAUCGCAUCAUGCUGCAUUGCAUUGCAUCAUCUUAAUCUUGUCAUAUUUCAAGUGUCUAGUAGUCUUUAUCCUAUCCAUGCCAUUGCAUUGCAUGAACAUGAUAAAUAGGGGCAUCUAUAGACACUCAAAAUUUUGCAUUCCUGUUACUAACCAUGCAAGAGGGCAUAAUCGUCUUCCAGAGACAACUUUGGAAAUCACAUCUAUUUCUAGCCCCAGAGAACCCCGGGAGAUCCAGAUCCAACCCCGAAGAUAACCCACGGAGAUCCAAGUUCCAGUCCCGGAGAUAAUCCCGAGAAAUUCAGUCUAAACCCCAAAGAUAACCCCGGGAGAUCCAGUUCCAAGCCCAGAGAUAACCUCAGGAGAUCCAGUUUCUAAAUCAGGAGAUAACUUAUGGAGAGUUAGUGUCCAACCUCGGAGAUAACCCCAGGGGAUCAAGUUCAAAGCCACCUUGAGAGGUCAAACCAACCUUAGAGACAACCCUGAGGACUGUCAUAGUUAACAUCAGGCUAAUCUCGGAGACAACCCUUAGAAAAGACUGCUACAACUGCACCCAAAGCCGAAGACAACCCCGGGAGGAGCAAAAUGGUCAUUUUUCCACCUCAACAUCAUCUCAACAAAGUUCAACUCAAACAACAUCCAAAGAUGUCCCACAAGAACUAUAGCUUAAAUCCCGAGUGACAACUGCACUAGACAACUCAACAAAUAGACUGCCAAGACUUUGAGAUCUGGUCAUGGACCCAUCUUCCCGACUUCAGACAAUGUCUAAUCUCAUGUCAUUGUGUAACUCUUAUCAACGACUUUCUAAAAAGGUACAACACGCCUCCAUCGGAUGCCCGAAUUGAAAGUUAUAAAGGUUUGACUGGACAACGCGUAGCCCAAGUGCACAUACUUUGUGAUGACGGGACCCACAAAGCCCAAGGUAGCCCAAACAGCCAUAGGUAGACCCGCGGCUGCCACGGGUUAACCCGCGACACAUUUUGUGAUUACCCCAAAAUAGGUAUACAUCACCCAUCUUGGUUCGCCAAAUACAUGGUACUGAAUACAAAUACAAACUUAAUUAUACAACAUGAGCUGAGAGUUUUUACAAGAAUAUUGUCUUCUAGACAAUAUCCAAACUCAAAUGGAGUCCUCAUUACAUUUAUUGUCACACUAUUUUAUAGAAUAGUGAGGACUACUAUAACACCAUCUCGGACCAUCAAUCCAUUCCCCGACUAGUUCCGGCUACGUUCUCAUUUCCUGAAGAGAACAAUGGAAGUAAAAUGUUGAGCUUAACUAGCCCAGUAAGAAAUAUUAUGACUAAGAUAAUGCAGAAGAAGUUAUCAUUAGCCUUCAAUAAUGUUAAACUGAUAGAAUAUAAUAGACAACAAGUUUAACUACAACGGAACAAGCAAUCCAUUAGAAGAGUCAAGAAGAGCAUGAUAUCUACUAUCUUCUAUGAUUUAAAAAGUUUAUCAUUAACUUUAUCGCUGGGACUCAGCUUAAUAAAUAAAUCACUUCAUCGAAUCAUCCCUGCACUACAUGCCAAAGAUAUUCAUUAGUAUCACCUUCACAAAUUACUCCUGCACUACAGGCCAAGAAUAUUCGUGUAAUCAUCAAUGGUCAUGAUCAUACCAAAUUAUCUCUGGUCAUAAUCAUUCCAAUCAAUAGUUUAUCUAUGCAUGUAAGCCAAAGAUGACUUUCAUCACAAUAUAAAGCAUGAGGAUGAUGACAAUGAUAUAAGAAUUCAAUUAAAAGAAAGCAAAGGAUAAAUUUUUAAAGAUUUAUAAUUUAAUUUAUUCAGGAUUCAAUAAUGUCCAAAUUGUCAACAUGAUACUACUUUGUGGAGUAAAAUUAAGAAUAAUAUCCAUGUAUCAAAAAUAAUUUGGACUGAAAAGAAAUAAAAUUUUCGAUGAAUAGUACCCUAUGAAUAGUACUUCGGGAAUAGUUCCCUGUGAAUAGUACCCCGACAUGAAAAGUGCCCCGAAUACCCGAGUGAAUAAUAUUUGAGUGAAUAGUAAUCAGGUGAAUAGUAACUCAUGAAUAGUACCUCGGCAUAAAAAGUGCCCCGAAUACCUGAGUAAAUAAUAUUUCAGUGAAUAGUAACUAGGUUAAUAGUAACCCGUGAAUAGUACCCCGGGUGAAAAUAUUGAUAUUUAAUAAGAAUUUUCAGAUCAAUAUUCCAAUAAAACGAUACCGGAUGAAGCGCAAAACUCAAGAAUAUUCCACUAAUUUCAAGGAUUAUAGAAGCAAUACUUACCAUAGUAAGUUUAGAUUUAAGAAUAUGAAAAGAAAUAACAUUCAAGACUGCAAAUGGUUUUUCACCUGUCAUAUGGUACGUUAUCCGCGUAGACAGGUUAUUUUGACAUAUUAAAGGAUGAAUACGAAAAAUAGUAUUUCUUCUGAAUACAAAAGAAAUAAUACCCCUUACCUUAGUAGAAGGUUGGAUACUACAAUAGUAAAGUAGCAAAAUACUCUUCUUCUUACGCUAUAUGGUUUCUCUCUCUAUAACGUCUCUUGUGAAUCUCAGUGAAUUGGUGAGAAUGAAAGAAGAAUUAAUCUUCUAUUUAUAGGAGAAAUGACUAAAUAGUAACUAAUUCAUGAACGGUCUAGAUUGAUUUACUAUUAGAACGGACGGUCCGUAUUGAUUACUAUUAAAACCACAACCGACGGUCCAGAUUGAUUUACUUUUAAAACCACCACCGACGGUCCAGAUGUCCAGAUUGAUCUACUUUUAAAAACACCACCAACGGUCCAGAUUGAUUUACUUUUAAAACCACCACUGACGGUCUAGAUUAAUUUACUAUUAAAACCACCAUCGACGGUCCAGAUUGAUUUACUAUUAAAACCACCACCAAUGAUCCAUAUUUAUUUAACUUAUUACACUUUAGUACCCCUAAAGUUUUCCAAGUUUGCAUUAUUCCCCUCUAACUUUUGUAAUCCACUUAUCUUCAAUAAACACAUUCUAAAUACUUCAACGAUUAUUCAUCAUUAAUAUUAUAACUCACAAUAUUUAACAACCAGAUCAUUCGCAGGAAAGAGGGGGCUUUCCGAUAAGGAUUUCUCUCUAUUGACGCGCAAUUAGGUGACCAAACCUCUCCUCGACAGAACUUUCUAGACAUCAUCAAUAUUGAAAAUAAUAAUAUGAAUAACUUUGUUAUCUCAAUUAUUGAUGUAAUAAUAUAAAAUAUUAUGCAGAUGAUACUGUGACAAUAAUUGAAUCAAAUAGCGUGAGAUACUAUGCAACAAUUAUUGUAGCAAUAAUUGGGUAAACUGAGUGUCUUCUUAUGUAAGCAUCAAUAAUCAAUACCGUGUGCUACUAUGCAACCACGCGUAUUACUGUACUUUUACCACCGGGUAGUUCAACAGUUUAAGAGUAAAACUUUCGCCGUUAUUUUUAUAAAAAGAUAUUUCUGUCAUUUUUUAACUACGACAAUACUUCUGUUGUGGGGUCCACCAAUGAUUGUGUCGUCAUACGAAUAUUCCCCGACCAAUCAAAUAUUUUAUAACAACUUGCUUACUUUGCAAAAUUUGUAAAUAUUACCCACAAAUAUAACAUUAUAUCAUAUCCACACCAUAAUAUUCAAUAAUAUAUUUCGUGAAAAAUUAAUCUUUAUUCAUAAAAGUUGGGGUCUUACAACCUCCCCUUCUUAUGAAAUUUUGUCCUCAAAAUUAGGGUACGUACCUGAUAUGUCGAAGAGGUGAGGAUACCUUGUAUUUAUUUUGAAUUCUAAUUCCCAGGUCAUUUCCUCAACAUCGUGGUUUCUCCACAAAACCUUGACUUGAGGUAUAACCUUGGAGCGUAGAGUAUGAUCCUUCUUAUCCAAGAUUUUAACAGGUACCUCUUCAUACGUUAAAUCUUCUGCUAUCUCAUCCGUUUUUAAUUCAAUAAUGUGGUUCGGGUCUUUCACAUAUUUAUGUAACAUAGAUAUGUGAAAACCAUUAUGAACACGAGACGUACUUGGCAGUAAGGCGAGGCUAUAGGCCACAAUUCCUACUCGAUCAAGGAUUACAAAUGGGCUAAUGAAUCGAGGAUUAAGAUUUCCUCUCUUUCCAAAUCUCGUAACUCCUUUCCAUGGAGCAACACGUAACAACACAUGAUCUCCGAUAUUGAAUUCCACGUCCUUUCGAUAAAGAUCAACAUAACUCUUUUGUCGAUCUUGUGAGAUUUUUAUACAUUGUCGGAUCAUUUGAAUCUUUUUCAUAGUCAUACGUACCAACUCCGGUCCCAACAACGUUGCUUCACCCACCUCGUCCCAUCAUACUAGAGAACGACACUUGCGUCCAUACAACGCCUCAAAUGGAGCCAUGCCAAUACUUUCUUGAUAACUGUUGUUAUAGGAGAAUUCCACUAAUGGCAAGAACUGGUCCCAACUUCCUUUGAAGUCAAGGACACGGAGUCUUAAUAUAUCCUCAAGAGUUUGAAUAGUCCUCUCCGACUUCCCGUCCAUUUGAGGAUGAUAUGCCAAACUAAAUCGUAAAUCCGUGCCCAUAGCUUUUUGCAAACUAACCCAAAAUUGUGAAGUGAAUCUUGGGUCUCGAUCAGAAACUAUGGAUACCGGCAUGCCAUGUAGUCUUACAAUCUCAUUUAUAUACAUACGAACAAGACGUUCAAGUGUAUAAGUUUCUCUUAUAGGUAAGAAAUGAGCAGACUUGGUCAAUCUAUCAAUAAUGACCCAAAUCGCAUCUAUGCCUUGAGAAACCUUGGGAAGACCAGUAAUGAAAUCCAUGGUAAUGUGCUCCCACUUCCAUUCUAGAAUUUCAAGUGGUUGCAAUGGACCUUUUGGCAUUUAAUGCUCCCCCUUGACUCGUUGACAAGUUAGACACCUUGAGAUAAACCUCGAUAUCUCUUUCUUCAUAUUGGUCCACCAAAAUGUAUGUUGAAGAUCACGAUACAUUUUUGUACUCCCAGGAUGGAUUGCAAACGGUGUGUUGUGCGCCUCUGUCAUGAUCUUAUACUUUAAAUCAGGGUCAUUUGGAACACAAAGUCUGGAGUUGACUCAAAUGAUUCCUUCUUCAUCGAUUCUUGCUUCCGGAACAACACCUUCUUGUACUUUCUUCUUCAUACGCAUCAACUCCAGGUCCGUAGCUUGAGCAGCUUUAACUUUAUCAAUUAAAGUCGGUUCUACUUGUAUAUUUUCCAUCAUCACAUGGAUCCCUGGAGUCUUUAACUCUAUCUCCAUCCUUUGCAAGUCAUACAAAAUGGGUCUUUGCGUUGACAAUAUCGCACUCGUACCCGCAUAUGAUCUUCUACUCAAUGCGUCAGCUACCACGUUCGCUUUUCGAGGAUGGUAUUGGAUGGUAUGAUCAUAAUCUUUCAAUAGCUCGAGCCAACGUCAUUGCCGCAUGUUGAGUUCCUUUUGAGUGAGAAAAUAUUUGAGGCUUUUAUGAUCCGUAUAGAUCUCCACUUUCUCCCCAUACAGGUAAUGCCUCAAAAUUUUAAGUGCAAAGACAACAACUGCCAACUUUAGAUCAUGAGUAGAAUAAUUCCUCUCAUAUUCUUUGAGUUGUCGAGAGGCAUAUGCUAUGACUUUCCUAUGUUGCAUGAGAACACAUCCUAACCCUUUGCCCGAAGUAUCACUAUAGAUGACAAAUCCCUCCGAGCAAGAUGGUAUUGUCAGAACAGGUGCUGAAAUGAGUCUCCUCUUAAGUUCUUGAAAACUCGUCUCACAUUCCUCGCUCCAAUCGAAUUUUGUAUCUUUUCGAGUCAGAUGAGUUAAUGGAGUAGCGAUUUGAGAAAAUCCUUCCAUGAAUCUCCGAUAAUAACCAGCUAAGCCCAGAAAGCUAGGUACUUCGGUCACUGACUUGGGUUGCUCCCAGCUUUGAAUUGCUUCAAUCUUUGCUGGGUCAACAAAUAUUCCAUGAUUUGAUAUCACGUGCCCAAGGAAUGCUACUUCGUCAAGCCAAAAGUUGCACUUCUUCAACUUGGCAUAAAGCUUGUUUUCACCAAGCUUUUGGAGUAUCAGCCUCAAGUGUUGCUCAUGAUCGUCACGGCUUUUGGAAUAUAUGAGGACGUCAUUAAUAAAGAUGACUACAAAAUGAUCCAAAUAUUCCUUAAAUACUUGGUUCAUCAUAUCCAUGAAGGUAGCAAGAGCAUUAGUCAAUCCAAAGGACAUGACUAGGAAUUCAUAAUGCUCGUACCGAGUUCUGAAAGCAGUCUUUGGGAUGUCAUCGAUUUUAAUCUUUAACUGAUGAUAUCCGGAAUGAAGAUCGAUCUUUGAAAAGAAUUUGGCGCCUUGAAACUGGUCAAACAGGUCAUCAAUGCGUGGCAACGGGUACCUAUUUUUGAUGGUGACAUGAUUCAACUCCCGAUAAUCAAUACAAACUCGCAUACUUCCAUCUUUCUUCUUUAUGAAGAGAAUAGGAGCAUCCCAAGUAAAUGUACUAAGAUGAAUGAAACUGAUGUCUAACAAUUCCUACAGUUGGGUCUUUAACUCCUUAAGUUCAACAGGAGCCAUUCGAUAUAGGGCUUUGGAAAUGGGUUUUGUACCGGGUUCAAGGUCGAUACAAAAUUCAAUUUCACUCUCUGGGGGUAGGCUAAGAAGUUCUUCAGGGAAUACGUCAGGAAAUUUAUUAACAAUAGAAAUAUCAUUCAAAUCUGACGUAUUUUUGUUUAAAUCAGUGACAUGGGCUAAGAAAGCUUGACAUCCAUUUUUUUAAUAAACGAAUAGCUUUAUGGCUUGAUAUGACAGUGAUUGACUUUAGUGGUUUGGUCGCUUGAAUUCACAUAAUAGGUUGGUUAGGAAUAUGAAUGCUAACAAUCUUACAAAAAUAAUCAAUUUUUUCAUGAUGAGUAGUUAACCAAUCAAUCCCUAAAAUCACAUCAAACGCAAGUAUUUUUAAGGAAAUAAGAUCGACUGGUAACGUGCGGUUACCGAUAUGAAUCAAACAAGACUUAUAAAUAGUGGAUGUAAUAAAGAUUUCCCCCAACGAAGUUUUAACCGAUAAGUCAAGGUGUAAUUUCUCUGGAGUCAAAUUUAAACGUUAAGCGCAAGUAGGAGAAAUAAAAGAAAGGGUAGAACAAGUAUCAAAUAAGGUAUAAGCUUCGCAAGAGUUUAUGAUUAGCUUACCCGUGAUCACCUCAUUCGAAUUCCUCGAUUUUUUGGGAGGUUACGACAAACGCUCUCCCUUGAACUACCAGUUUUGUCUUGUCUGGGACGGCCUUUGAUGCCUCCAUCUCAGCUGGACUUGACUUUGGUGCACAACAAAAUUACGCUAGGUGACAUUCUCUUCCACAAUUAUAACAUGCUUUGGACUGCUGCGUAAAGUUUGGACUGAUGUGUCCCUCCCCUCCGCAUUUGUAACAUACGACCGGCAGUCGUUCUCCUUCCUUAACAACAGGUGCUAGUGCUGACGUCUUUCCAUCAUUAUUGAAUCUCCUCUUCUUGAAAUUUCCACUUCUAUUAUCUUGGCCAUGAUUACUACUGGAGUGGUUACCAUUUUUUGCAUGUUGAUUCCCUCCACGUUUGUUUUCACCGCUUCGAUGACUACUACCACUGGUAUUAUCGACUUGCAGGCAGCUCUCUAUUGGUUGGGUUGACUCAUUAUCGCGCUCUAAUAACUGAGCCCUAUUUACAACAUCUGAAUACAAACAUAAUUUGUGAGAAAUGAGGUAUUGACGUAUUUCGGGUCUCAAACCUUGCAGAAACAUUCACGUCAUUCUCUCCUCAUUAUCAACCAAAUGGAAUGCGAAAUGGGAUAACUCGGUAAACUUAGCCUCAUACUACGACACAGUCAUAUUGUUUUGUUCCAACUUGAUAAACUCCACCUCCUUCACGUGACGAAUACUUUUAGGAAAGUACUUGUCGUUGAACAGCUCUUGAAACUUCUCCCAAGACAUUUUGAGUGCGGCAGGCUGAGUACGCUUUAUUGAUUCCCACCAGUAAUCUGCUUCUCCUCUCAACAUGAUAGUGGGAAAGGGAACCUUUUGCUCCUCGGAGCAUCCCAAUACAUCAAAUAUCUCGGUGAUCUGCUUUAUCCACGUCUCUACCUUAAAUGGUUCUUGCUUUCCCCAAAACUCUGAUGGUCCCAGCUCUUUGAAUUAUUUAGCGGUGACCAUAUGUGAGUUACCAGUGUUUCCGCCUGUAUUUUGAAAAUGAGCUGCUCUCGCUUGAUGUUGCAUGAAUUGCAUAAAGCCUCUGAACAUCCCAUUAUUCAUCAUUUGAUCGGUGUUAUUGUUUACCUGAGGAUUAUUGUCUUCCUGUUGCACAUUAUCCUGGGUAUUGAUCGUUGGUGACUCAACAGUCUCAUGUGCUUCAUUGUUGAUCUCAACAUUUUCAGAUGCCAUUUUUAAACACUACCUCAAAACAAGGGUUAAUUGACAUGUCAUAUAUUAUCCCUAUACUCUGACUGACCAAUUAAAUGCCAAAUAAACUUAGGUAGGUCAUACAAGCGAAGGAAUUCCCCGUCUCUCCCCUCCUAGUUAUUGUCUCACAUCUCAGCCAGGGAUCAUAUUCCUAAGCUUUGAUACCAACUGUGACGCCCCCAAAAUAGGUAUACAUCACCCAUCUUGGGUCGCCAAAUACAUGGUACUGAAUACAAAUACAAACUUAAUCAUACAACAUGAGUGAGAGUUUUUACACGUAUAUUGUCUUCUAGACAAUAUCCAAACUCAAAUGGAGUCCUCAUUACAUUUAUUGUCGCACUAUUUUAUAGAAUAGUGAGGACUACUAUAACACCAUCUCGGACCAUCACUCCAUUCCCCGACUAGUUCCGGCUACGUUCUCAUUUCCUAAAGAGAAAAAUGGAAGUAAAAGGGUGAGCUUAACUAGCUAAGUAAGAAAUAUUAUGACUAAGAUAAUGCAAAAUAAGUUAUCAUUAGCCUUCAACAAUGUUAAACUGAUAGAAUAUAAUAUACAACAAGUUUAACUACAGCGGAACACGCAAUCCAUUAGAAGAGUCAAGUAGAGAAUAAUAUCUACUAUCUUCUAUGAUUUAAAAAGUUUAUCAUUAACUUUAUCGCUGGGACUCAACUUAAUAAAUAAAUCACAUAUUCGAAUCAUCUAUGCACUAUGGGCCAAGGAUAUUCAUUAGUAUCACGUCCACAAAUUAUUACUGCACUACGGGUCAAGAAUAUUCAUGUAAUCAUCAAUGGUCAUGAUCAUACCGAAUUAUCCUUGGUCAUAAUUAUACCAAUCAACAGUUUAUCUAUGCACGUAAGCCAAAGAUGACUCUCAUCACAAUAUAAGCAUGAGGAUGAUGACAAUGAUAUAAGAAUUCAAUUAAAAGAAAGCAAAUGAUAAAUUUUUAAAGAUUUAUAAUUUAAUUUAUCCAGGAUUUAAUAAUGUCCAAAUUGUCAACAUGAUGCUGCUUUGUGGAGUAAAAUUCAAGACUAAUAUCCAUGUAUCAAAAAUAAUUUGGACAGAAAGAAAUAAAUUUUUUUGUGAAUAGUACCCCGUGAAUAGUACCUUGUGAAUAGUACUUCAAAAAUAGUACCCCGUGAAUAGUACCCCGACAUGAAAAGUGCCCCAAAUACCUGAGUGAAUAAUAUUUGAGUGAAUAGUAAUCGGGUGAAUAGUAACUCGUGAAUAGUACCCCGGCAUGAAAAGUGCCUCGAAUACCCGAGUGAAUAAUAUUAUAGUGAAUAGUAACCCGUGAAUAGUAUCCCGGGUGAAAAUAUUGAUAUUUAAUAAGAAAGUUCAGAUCAAUAUUCCAGUAAAAUGAUACUGGAUGAAGCACAAAACUCAAGAAUAUUCUAAUAAUUUCAAGGAUUAUAGAAGCAAUACUUACCAUAGUAAGUUUAGAUUUAAGAAUAUGAAAAGAAAUAAUAUACGACACUGCAAAUAGAUUUUCACCUGUCAUACGGUACGUAAUCCGCGUAGACAGGUUAUUCCGACAUAUUAAAGGAUGAAUACGAAAAAUAGUAUUCCUUAUGAAUACGAAAGAAAUAAUACCCCUUACCUUAGUAGAAGGCUGGAUACUACAAUAGUGAAGUAGCUGAAUACUCUUCUUCUUGCGCUCUAUAGUUUCUCUCUUUAUAGUGUCUCUUGUGAAUCUCAGUGAAUUGGUGAGAAUGAAAGAAGAAUUAAGCUUCUAUUUAUAGGAGAAAUGACUAAAUAGUAACUAAUUCAUGAACGGUCCAGAUUAAUUUAUUAUUAGAACGGACGGUCCAUAUUGAUUACUAUUAAAACCAUAACCGACAGUCCAGACUGAUUUACUUUUAAAACCACCACCGACGGUCCAGAUUGAUUUACUUUUAAAACUACAACCGACGGUCCAGAUUGAUUUACUAUUAAAAUCACCAUCGAUGGUCCAGAUUAAUUUACUAUUAAAACCACCAUCGACGGUCCAUAUUGAUAUAAUAUUAAAACCACCACCAAUGGUCCAGAUUGAUUUAACUUAUUACACUUUAGUACCCCUAAAGUUUUCCAAGUUUGCAUUAUUCCCCUUUAACUUUUGUAAUUCACUUAUCUUCAAUAAACACAUUCUUAAUACUUCAACAAUUAUUCAUCAUUAAUAUUAUAACUCACAAUAUUUAACAACCAGAUCAUUCCUAGGAAAGAGGGGGCUUUCCGAUAAGGAUUUCUCCCUAUUGGCGCGCAAUUAGGUGACCAAACCUCUCCUCGACAAAACUUUCUAGACAUCGUCAAUAUUGCAAAUAAUAAUAUGAAUAACUUUAUUGUCUCAAUUAUUGAUUUAAUAAUAUAAAAUAUUAUGCAGAUGAUACUGUAACAAUAAUUGAAUCAAAUAACGUGAGAUACUAUGCAACAAUUACUGUAGCAAUAAUUGGGUAACCUGAGUGGCUUCUUACGUAAGCAUCAAUAAUCUAUACCGUGUGCUACUAUGCAACCACGCGUAUUACUGUACUUUUACCACCGGGUAGUUCAACAGUUUAACAGUAAAACUUUCGCCAUUAUUUUUAUAAAAAGAUAUUUCUGUCGUUUUUUAACUACGACAAUACUUCUGUUGUGGGGUCCACCAAUAAUUAUGUCUUCGUACGAAUAUUCUCUGCUAAAACGAAUAUUCCCCGACCAAUCGAAUAUUUUAUAACAACUUGCUUACUUUGCAAAAUUUGUAAAAAUUACCCACAAAUAUAACAUUAUAUUAUAUCCACACCAUAAUAUUCAAUAAUAUAUUUCGAGAAAAAUUAAUCUUUAUUCAUAAAAGUUGGGGUCUUACAUAUUUGGUCUAUAAAUAUAAGCCUCCAUCAGCUCAUUUGAGAAAAAAGAAGAAAAUAGAGAAAACUCUGUCCAUUUCAGCCCUUAACCUCUUCUAGAGUGCUCCAAACUUUGUGAUUCUUCUUUCUAAACACUUGUAAGCUCGUGUUCAACAACAUACUAAAAUUUAACCGGUGGAAACCGAGUUUUCAGGCCCCAAAAGCUAUCUGAAGUCUUCUUGGUAGCCCACUGUAAGAUUUUUAAAAUUUUUAAGCUUUUUACUGCUUAUAUAUAAGUAUAUAUACAUAUACAUCAAGAAUGUCAUCGAGUAGUUACUCUCGGAUUGUCGUUCCAUGGCUUUUUCCUUCUUAUAUAUAUAUAUAUAUAUAUAUAUAUAUAUAAAAACUUAAACUCGAACAAUUAAGCUCAGAUCGAAUAUCCGUGACUUUUACCUAUCCGUGACUUUUACCGAUUUUGUAUAUAUAUAUAUAUAUAUAUAUACUACUUUUAUACAUAUAUCUGUUUUAACUUCUUUCGCAAUGUAGAUAGUUAAUAUUCCAACCUGUGGACUAGAUUUAUCUAAAUCUGGCUAUCUCUAACUUUGACCAGUUCAAAAGUGAUUAAACUAGAACCGUUGAAGCUAGAAUGACUUAGAUUUAUUUAAAUCUAGUUUUCUUUCUAGCUUUUGUACAUAUUAAUCUAUCAUGUGAGCCUAGGAGCAAUAAGAUCAAAGAUUCAACUUGUGAAUCUAGAUCUGGUUCCCACGAUGGACACUUUCCAGCUGUAACCAGCUUAUAAAUUAUCUAUGGUGUCUGGACAUCCUUGGAUGGCUUUCAUGCCCAUAAGGGGCCCGACACUGCUAUGUAACUUAUUUUCUCGAAGAUGCUUCGCAUCUCAAAAAUAAAAUGAAUCAAGCUGAAUACAAAAUAAAAUGGAAGUAUCAAAGACCUUUAUUACUAUUGAGCAUAAGGGUUUGAAAACCAGUUUUUCAAAACAUCACUGCUAUAUCUUGCCUAAAAUUAAACUUUUAUACAAGUCAAACCCUUUGUAUAUAGGUGUAAACGAGGCAUAGCACUACUUCCAGAUAAUUUCACAUAGGCCCAAUAAACACACACACACACACACACACACACACUGUAAGACCCCAACUUUCAUAAAUAAAGAUUAACUUUUCUCGAAAUAUAAGUUUUGAAUAUUAUGGUGUGGAUUUGAUAUAAUGUUAUAGCUGUGGGUAAUAUUUAUAAAUUUUGUAAAGUAUGCAAGUUGUUAUAAAAUAUUCGAUUGGUCGGGGAAUAUUCGUUUUAACAGGAAAUAUUCGUACGACGACACAAUCAUUGGUGGGGCCCAUAAAAUUGAAAUGGGAUGGUCACGAGAAAGUGGAUGCAGGAAAGUGGUGGAUUUUUUAUAUAUAAUAUAUUAUAAUAAGUUUUUUUUUAUGAAAAAUAAAAUAUAUUAUAUUUUAUUAUGCACAGUGUUUGCAUAGUGCCUGUAUAGUAUUUGCAUAAUGCUACAUAGUAAAUAAAAAAAAAAUUAGUUGAACGUUGUUGCGCCCGUGAUUCCUUACUGUGCAGUCCGUGAUUUUCUAAAUUUAAAUAGUAUCCUUCCAUUCUCCUAUAAAUAGGAUGCUUAGUUUAGAAAUGAAAAUCACACUAGAAUUAGAGAAUUAUUCUUCUAUAAUAUUGAGCAUAUUUCUUUUGAGUUAUAGGAAGCUUUGAGUGUAGAAAACAGUGCAAGUUUUCUUCAAGAAUAUCCCCACUAUACCAAUUAAAAUACUCUCCUUUUUAAGGUAAGGGAUAUUAUUUUUGUUCAAUAUUCGUAAGAAAUAAUAUUUUCUUCCAUACUCUGUAGUAUGUAAGUUGUGAGAUCCCGAAUUUUAUAAAAUAAAAGUAUUCAAUUUUCCUAUUUUAGUAAAUAGUUAAAUUGAUAAAAGGUUAAAGUUAAGGGUGAUAUUUGAAAAUUUUUCAAAGUAAGAAAGUUUUCAUAAAAUAAUUGGUAGUAAAAGUACAAUAAUACGCGUGGUUGCAUAGUAGCACACGGUAUUGAUUAUUGAUGCUUACGUGAGAAGUCACUCAGUUAUACUCAAUUAUUUCUACAAUAAUUGCUGCAUCAUAUCUAUCAUAUUAUUGAUUUAAUUAUUGUCACAGUAUCAUCUGCAUAAUAUUUUAUAUUAUUAAUCAAUAAUUGAGACGACAAAGUUAUUCAUAUUAUUAUUUGCAAUAUUGAUGAUGUCUAGAAGUUCUAUCAAGGAGAGGUUAGGUAAUCUAAUUGCGCGCCAAUAGGGAGAAAUCCUUAUCGGAAAGCUCCCUCUUUCUUGGGAACAACCUGAUUGUUAAAUAUUGUGAGUUAUAAUAUUAAUGAUGAAUAAGUUCGUGUUGAUUAAAGAUGAAAUUGAUAUUUCCAUUGUGUUGGGAUUAUUAAUGUUAGUGGAAAUCGACAUCUAUUCCGAUAAUAAUUGAUGUCUGGAGGUUAUAUUGAUCAAUCGGGUAAUUAAUUGGAUAAAUGAGCUAUUAGUUGCUAUUAAUUCACAUGCUUAUAACUAUGUGUUCACAUGUGUGUACCAUUGAUUCAUAUGUAUGUACUAUUAGGGGAGGUGGUGCAAGAUUGAUAAUACUUGCUUGACUAAAUUAAAAAUGGAGGUAUAGAUGAAGGUACUAUACUGUAAUUAUUUUUUUCACAUGUAUAGAACUAUUGAGUCAUGUGAUUGUACUAUUGAUUCACAUGAUAUACUAUUAGGGGAGGUGGUGCAAGUUUGAUAAUACUUGCAGGACUAAGUUAAAAAUGAUGGAAAAGAUGAAGGUAUUAUACUGUAAUAUUUCGAGCCCCAAAACGUGCAAUUAUCGAAACUAUAUUUUCCUAUAAAUAGAAGCUCAUUCUUCCUUCAUUCUCACCAAUUCACUAAGACUCACAAGAGUAAUUAUAGAGAGAGAGAAGCUAUAGAGAGAAAAGCUAUAGAGAGAAAGAAGAAGAGUAUUCUGCUACUUCACUAUUCCAGUAUUCAGUCUUCUUCUGAGGUAAGAGGUAUUAUUUAUUAUUCUGAAGAGAUAUUAUUUAUUGUAUUCAUAUGAAUAUUAUUUUCGUUCAAUAUUCAUAAAGAAUAUUAUCUUCGUUCAAUAUUCGUAGGAAUAUUAUCUUCGUUCAAUAUUCGUAGGAAUAUUAUCUUCGUUAAAUAUUCGUUGGAAUAUUAUUUUUGUUCUUUGUAAAGGAUGUUAUUUUGUUCAAUAUUCGCUUGAAAUAAUAUUUUCUUCCAUACUCUGUAGUAUGUAAGUAAUAUUAUUUUGUUUUAUAUUUCAAAUUCUAUACUCAUUUGGUUAAAGUAUUGUCUUCUAUACUCCAUGAAAUUAGUAGAAUAUACUUGAUAUUUGCGCUUCAUCCAGUAUCUUUUCAUGGAAAAAUUAUUCUGAGCUUUCUUGAUAAUUAUUGAUCUUUUCAUGACGGAAUACUAUUCAUGAGUUACUAUUUAUGGGUUACUAUUCACUCAAAUAUUAUUCACUCGGAUAUUCGGGGCACUUUUCAUGUCAGAGUACUAUUCACGAGUUACUGUUCACGGGUUACUAUUCACCCAAUUACUAUUCACCCGAAUAUUAUUCACUCGGGUAUUUGGGGUACUUUUUAUGUUGGGGUACUAUUCCCGAAAUACUAUUCACAGGGUAUUAUUCACGGGGUACUAUUUACCCAGAAAAUAUAUUUCUUUUCUGUCCAAAUUAUUUUUGAUAGAUGAAUAUUAUUCUUGAAUUUUACUCCACAAAGCAGUAUCAUAUGUUGAUAAUUUGGAUAUUUUUAAACUCUAGAUAAAUUUAAAGUCUUUCAUAUUUAUCCUUGAUUUCGUUUGAUUAAUGCUUAUAUCAUUGUCAUCAUCCUCAUGCUUAUAUUGUGAUGAAAGUCAUCUUUGGCUUACGUGCAUAGAUGGACUGUUGAUUUAUAUGAUUAUGACCAGGGAUCAUUCGGUAUAAUCAUGACCCGUAAUGUUACAAAUGAUGUGGUAAAAGUCCUCAUUGGCCCGUAGUGCAUUGAUGGACAGUUGUUGGUAUGAUUAUGACCAGGGAUUAUUCAGUAUAAUCAUAACCAUUGAUGAUUACAUGAAUAUCCUUGGCCCGUAGUGCAGGGAUGAUUUGAUGAUGUGGUUUAUUUAUUAAGCUGAGUCUCAGCGAUAAAGUGGAUGAAAAACUUUUUAAAUCAUAGAAGAUAGUAGAUAUCAUGCUCUACUUGACUCUUCUAAUGGAUUGCUUAUUCCGCCACAGUUGUUGAUCUAAAACUUGUUGUCUAUUGUAUUCUAUAAGUUGUUAUACUGUUUAAGGCUAAGGAUAAUUUAUUCUGCAUUAUCUUAGUCAUAAUAUUUCUUACUGAGCUAGUUGAGCUCACCAUUUUCUUUCACUGUUCUCUUCAUGAAAUGAGAAUAUAGCUAGGACGAGUCGGGGUGGAGUGAUGGUCCGAGAUGGUGGCUAUAGUAGUCCUCACUAUUAAAAUAGUGUGACAAUAAAUGUAAUGAGGACUCCAUUUGAGUUUGGAUAUUGUUUGGAAGACAAUAUUCGUGUAAAAACUCUCAGCUCUUGUUGUAUAAUUAAGUUUGUAUUUGAUUUAUGUACCAUGUUUUUGGCGACUUAAGAUGGGUGAUAUAUACCUGUUUUUGGGGCGUCGCAUAAGUAAUAUUAUUUCGUUUCAGAUUCUGAAUUCUACACUCAUUUUGUUAUGUUUUGGCUUCUAUACUCCAUUAAAUUAGUAGAAUAUCCUUAAAAUUUGUGCUUCAUCCAGUAUCUUUUCAUGGAAAUAUUAUUCUGAACAUUCUUGAUAAGUUUUAACUUUUUUAUGCCGGAGUACUAUUCACGGGGUACUAUUCUAGAAUUACUAUUCACGAGGUAUUAUUCACUCAGGUACUAUUCACCUGGAGUACUAUUCAUGACAAAAAUUGAUUUAUUUUCUGUCCAAAUCAUUUUUGCUAUAAUAUUAUUCUUGAAUUUUACUCCACAAAGUAGUAUUAUGUUGAUAAUUUGGAUGUUUUUGAAUUUUGGAUAAAUUAAAUUAUAAAUCUUUAAAAAUUUAUCCUUUGCUUUUGUUUAAUUGAAUUUUUAUAUCAUUGUCAUCAUCCUCAUGCUUAUAUUGUUAUGAAAGUCAUCUUUGGCCCGUAGUGCAUAGAUGAACUGUUGAUCGGUAUGAUUAUGACCAGGGAUCAUUCAGUAUAAUCAUGACCUGUAAUGUUACAAAUAAUGUGGUAAAAGUCCUCAUUGGCCCGUAGUGCAUUGAUGUACAGUUGUUGGCAUGAUCAUGACCAUUGGUGAUUACACAAAUAUCCUUGACACGUAGUGCAUGGAUAAUUCGUGGACGUGAUACUAAUGAAUAUCCUUGGACCGUAGUGCAGGGAUAAUUUAAUGAUGUGGAUUAUUUAUUAAGCUUAGUCUCAGCGAUAAAAUUGAUAAUAACCUUUUUAAAUCAUAGAAGAUAGUAGAUAUCAUGCUCUACUUAACUCUUCUAAUGGAUUGCUUGUUCCGCUGCAGUUAAACUUGAUGUUUAUUGUAUUUUAUCAGUUUAACACUGUUGAAGACUAACGAUAAAUUAUUCUGCAUUAUCUAAGUCAUAAUAUUUCUUACUAGGCUAGUUGAGCUCACCCUUUUGCUUUCGUUGUUCUCUUCAGGAAAUGAGAACAUAGUCGGGACUAGUCGGGGAACGGAUUGAUGGUCCGAGAUGGUGUUAUAGUAGUCCUCACUAUUCUAUGAAAUAGUGUGAUAAUAAUUGUAAUGAGGACUCCAUUUGAGUUUGGAUAUUGUCUAGAAGACAAUAUUCGUAUUAAAACUCAGCUAUGUUUUGUCGUAUUUUACACGACAGUUGUAUAAUUAAGUUUGUAUUUGAAUUCUGUACCAUGUAUUUGGCGACUCAAGAUGGGUGAUGUAUACCUAUUUUGGGGCCGUCACACACACACAAUACAAAUAAUUAGGGUAAUUGAAAAGUUGUGGUAACCAUAUUUUUACAGAAGUUGGGGUGUGCCUAACACCUUCCCCCCGCUUAAUCAAAUCCCCGAACUCAAUGAAUCUCGGUUUUCAAAGCCUGUUAAAUAGUGUCCAACCAUUGGGCCUUUGUGUAAACCUUUUCAAAAUCAGUUGAGUUAGUACACCCAUUUCAAAACUACCAACUAGUGACUCUAUCGUUGACAUUUAUAUGUUGGACCUUUUCAAACUCGCAUUUUCAGACAAAACUCAACCAAUUGAGAACACAAAAAGGCGAGAAUAGAAAGGGACACAAUUUUUCCGACGUUGACACCCAUUUUAUUGGAAAAUAUAGACCCAUAAUGGAAACUCAUAAUAAAAUAAAAGAAAAAAGAAGAGGAGUUUUGCACCAGAAAUGACAAAACUAAUGAUUUGGCCACUAAAGUUGGCACGUUUUAUUGAAUACCCGAUUGAACUUUUACUUUUUCAAAUUAACUCACUGAACUAAUUUUUAUUUUCAAAUUGGGUCAUUCCGUUAAAAAAAGUUGACAGACAUUAAAUUUUUGUCUAUGUGGCGCUGGCGUGGCAAAAAAAAUAAAAAAUAUUGCUUAUGUGGCCAAAAAAAAAAUCAAAAACAGAUUUUAAAAUAAAAAAAAUUAACAUUUUAGAGUUUUAAAAAUUACAAAACCAUAAUAAAAUAAAACAAAAAAUACAGAUUUUUUAAAAAAAUACCGAUUUUUUAAAAAAAUAGAUUUUUUAAAAAAACAGAUUCUUUUAAAAAAAACAGAUUUUUUUAAAAACAAACAGAAUUUUUUUUAAAAAAACAGAUUUUUUUUAAAAAAUCUGUGUUUUUAAAAAAAAUCUGUUUUUUUUUUCAAAUCUUCACGCACAGAGCUGAACGAACACCUAAAAUGGCUGCUCGUUCCAUCUUCCUCACUCUCAAUCGGUAUCCUCUUUCUAUACAUGCAUACAUACAUAUGAAUUUAUAUAGAUAUAGAUAUAUGUGCUAUUUUUUACUGCGUUGAUUCAAGGUUUAAUCUUUCUUUGUAUGAUGAAUACCUAGAAAUUGGAGGAGAGAGAAAAGCAUAUUGAGACCCUUUUCAUCCCUUGCUACGAAAGCUAAAAUUGUGUUCGAUGAACCCCUAAUUUCUGUUGAACAAGAAGAAUCCAUUGACGAUGAUUUGAAAAGCAGAAUAUUCAGGUUGAGACUCCCCAAGCGUAGUGUCACAAAUGUGCUCCAGAACUGUUUGAAAAGCAGAAUAUAUGAAAAGCAGAAUAUUCUAUUUUUAAAAAAAAUCUGUUUUAUUAAAAAAAAAAUUCUAUUUUUAAAAAAAAAUCUGUUUUUUUUUAAAAUCUAUUUUUUUUAAAAAUCUGUAUUUUUUUGUUUUAUUUUAUUAUGUUUUUGUAAUUUUUAAAACUUUAAAAUGUUAAUUUUUUUAUUUUUAAAAUCUGUUUUUGAUUUUUUUGGACACAUAAGCAAUAUUUUUUAAUUUUUUGUCACGUCAGCGCCACGUAGACAAAAAAUUAACGUCUGUCAACUUUUUUUUAACAGAAUGUCCCAAUUUAAAAAUAAAAAUUAGUUCAGUGAGUUAAUUUAAAAAAUUAAAAGUUCAAUCGGGUAUUCAAUAAAACGUGCCAACUUCGGUGGCCAAAUCAUUAGUUUUGCCCACCAGAAAUACAUUAGGCCAUUAAUAAAGAAGUGGAUAAGUUGUUUGAAGCCAUAAUUAAUUCCAUGAAACCUAUAAUCAAGGCAUUGGAUCCUAGAAUCAAGUUCAUGAAUACCAGAAAUUAUGGACUUGAAGCCAAGAAUCAAGGCUGUGAAGGUCCAAAAUUAAGGUCAUGAAGGCUAGAAUUAAGGCCAUAGUGCUCAGAAUUAAGGCUUAAAAUAAAGGUCAUGGAGACCUAUAAUCAAGGCCAUGGAGACCUAAAGUCAAGCCCAUUGAGGUUAAGCAUUAAGUAGCGCCAAGAAUUAAGGCCAUUAAGUCGAAGAAUUAGCGAUAUGGGAGCUAAGAAUUAAGGCUAUGGGAGCCAGAAUCAAGGCCAUAGAAACCCAUAAUUAAGACAACAGAGGGUAGAAUUAAAUUCAAUUCCCUUGAGAUUCAUAAUAAAAGAUAUGGAGCCCAUAGUUAAGGCCAUGGAGGUCCAAAAUUAAGUACACAGAGCUUAUAAUUAAAGUUAUGGAAGCUAGAAUUAAGGUCAAUUUCUGACAAGAACUAAUCUAAUGGGAGCUAAGAAUUAAGGCCAUAUAAUUCAGAAUUACUAUAACACCCACAAAUCUGUGUACUUAUUACCUCAGACUUGGUACAUUACGAUACAACCUUUAUUCGUAAAUUAAUGAAUACAACCUCAUUUUGAUACAAAUUAAUACAUUAGUUCCUCCUAUUUAAGAUUCUUUAACCUUUACAACAUGUUAUUCCAUCUGUAAAUCUUUAAUGAUCUAAUCUAUACAUUUCAAACUAUAAACAAUAUGCUUCAUUUUGAUACAUUAAUUGUGAGUAUUCGUGAGCUCACAGUCCAAAUUAAAUAUUCUUUUGAACAAUGUUCUUUUACUAUGCAACUACAAUAUAUAAUAUUAACAUUCAUCUAGCAUAGCUGGAGACUACGCAAACAAGUGUUUUGGCAUUUAACAUUACCAAAUAAAAUUACUUUAAAGAGAUUACACCAAUGUGUUAGUUUGUUACUAAAGUAUAAAAUACCUUCAAUCACUAUUUCUUCUUGUAUUCCUUUGUUUAUCCCAAAUCCUUCGAUCCACUCUGAUUUAGCUGAAAACAAAUAUUUAUAGCAAGGGUGAGCAACUACGUUGCCCAUCAAGUUUAACAGUUAUCACAUAUCACAUAAUUCACAUUUUAAACAUACAUUAUUCCCUUCAUACUUUUCAUUUCUACAUGAUUCAGGUUCUCAUGCCUGACAUAUAUUCAUGUAUCAUGCCUUACAUAUAUUCAUGUCCCAUGCUUAUCAUGCUUUGCAUUUAAAUAUGAUUCAUAACAUUAAUCCAUAAAGUUCACAUAGAACAUUUCAUCUUAAACCAUCAAAUAAAUAUCAACAAUAUUUAACAAAUAGUUGCACGAAGUGCACAAUAAAUAAGUUCACAUGACUUCCAUAUAUCACAUAAAAUUUUCACAUAAUAUAUAAACACAAUUUCUGACAAACUUGUCUGUACCGACGUUUUACCAUCUACUCCAUCUACAAUCAUAAAUUCCUUCAAAUGAUAACGUACAUCAUCCAUGAGAAUUUAUUUGAUUAAGUUAAUCAUCACCUCAUAAUAAUUAUCAACAGUAAUUAUCUUAACCUAUUCUAAUAAUCAAUCUUUCAACUUAAACCAAUGUAAACGUCCCCUCACAUCAUUUUUACAAAAUUAUCAUAAAAAUAUGUGAUUAACCUUUUCAUAGACUCAUACGUCCCAUGUCGACAUACUCUAUUCGAUAGAAAUUAUUUCGAUGAUUCUCGACUCGUCGGUAAUUAAUAGUUUUUAAUCCGUUGAAAGCCUAAUUCCCCCCAUUAAGUCUCCUUAACCAUUUUAUUAUUAUUAUUUUUAUUUUAUGGACACACAUAUAUACACAUAUUCCAUACACAAAAAUAAUUUUUCUAAUUUUUUUCUUUUUUAUUAAAUAUUUUUCAAAAGCUCAUUUUAGUUCGUAACUUAGCAAAAUUAGCUAUAUUGUGCCCAACUCCAAAAAUUCUCAAAUCUUCAUAGAAUCUUAAAUAUAUUAACAUGAACUUAUAGUUUAAUUUUUGUGGCCAUCAGAGUUAUAAAACUCGAGUUGUAGUCGUUUUCAUCGAAAAAAUCCUAAAAUUAGAAUGUUCAUAACUCUUUCGAUUUAAGUCAGAAUAAGCUCAUCUUCAGACAAACGAUAAUUUAUAUCAUAUAUUUUCAUGUCCCAAAAAUCCAUAUUUUAUUUCAAUGUCAAACUGUUCCAAACAGCCCAUGAAAAAAUAUGGGCAAUAGGGUUUUCAAUUUUUCCAGAUUUUGCCUACUUUGCUAAAAACUGUCCAUACAAAAAUUCACAAAGGAUAAUCCGGAAAUUCCAAUUGAAUAUUUUAGAGGACUCCCAUAUCUAACUCCAGAAAUUAACCACACUAAAAAAUUCAAAAUAGGCUAUGAGUUAUGCUUGUUCAAAUUUCAGGUUCUGUUUUAAGGAAAAAUAGUUUUUCUUUCUUACUUCAUGAUCUUUCAUCAUCCUUUAGUUUAUCAAGCAUUAGCAAACAUAAAUCAUCAUCAUACAUCAUAACCUCCUUAUACUCCAGGAUCCACCAUGAUCCACCAUCAAUUUCAUCAAACUCCCACAAUAAACAUUCUUAUACACAAUUCUUUGGAACAUAGGCUAUAAAAUGAACUAGUUUUAGAUUUAGUGCUUUAUAUACCUUUUCUUGCUUUCCUAGCUUUCCUUCUCCUUGACAAAGCUUUAUAACUUUUUGUCUUCCUUCUUUGCUUCCCUAUAAAUAACCACAACAACACAAAUCUAACAAAUCAUUUACCAAGCUUAGAAAAGAAAAUAAUAGAUGAAUCUAGUUUUGAAUUUUUACCUUUGUGGUUCUUUCUCCUUGUUCUUAUUCUUGCUAGCUUAUGGAUGAUCAAAACUUGAUCUUCCUCUUCCUCCUCUUCUCUUCCAUCCGUGGGUUCCUCUCCCUCUUUCUCUCUUGCUUUCUUUUCUUUUUCUUAGCAACAAAGGAAAU
rnacentral:lncRNA from 1 species